rnacentral:SRP_RNA from 1 species
GCCGGGCAUGGUGGCGUGUGCCUGUAGUCCCAGCUAUUCAGGAGGCUGAGGCUGGAGGAUCUCUUGAGUCCAGGAGUUCUGGGCUGUAGUGCGCUAUGCCGAUCAGGUGUCUGCACUAAGUUCGGCAUCCAUAUGGUGACCUCCCAGGAGCAGGGGACCACCAGGUUGCCUAAGGAGAGGUGAACCGCCCCAGGUGGGAAAUAGCAGGUCAAAAUUCCCGUGCUGAUCAGUAGUGGGAUUGCACCUGUGAAUAGCCAGUGCACUCCAGCCUGGGCAACAUAGCAAGACUCUGUCUCU